rnacentral:rRNA from 1 species
UGGCGAACGGGUGAGUAACACGUGGGUGAUCUGCCCUGCACUUCGGGAUAAGCCUGGGAAACUGGGUCUAAUACCGGAUAGGAGCCAUUUUUAGUGUGAUGGUUGGAAAGCUUUUUCGGUGUAGGAUGAGCUCGCGGCCUAUCAGCUUGUUUGUGGGGUAAUGGCCUACCAAGGCGGCGACGGGUAGCCGGCCUGAGAGGGUGGACGGCCACAUUGGGACUGAGAUACGGCCCAG